AUAAUUUCAUAGGUGAUUAUUUGGAAAAAAAUAAGAAAAUACACAUUUCUUCGUCAUUUAAUUGACAAAAAGGCUUCGGCCGCCAUUUUGAAAAUCGCUUAGGUGAUUAUCUCGUAAUAAUCACCUCGACGGCAACCAAUCAGCGUGGAGAAUUUUCAAUAAUCACCUAUGUAAUUAUACUAAAUAAGAAUAAUCUUACAGUGUUGUUUAAUUACUUUAGUUAAUUUACUGUUAAUUAGGGAGCGGUCAUUAUUUAUGGUGGGGGGUGGCACCGAAGAGAAAUGUUUUUCAUGGGAAAAAUUUUGCUGACCCAACCAUUAAAAAGUCAAAAAUUUGAUUACCCAAC